GGGUAAUUGCCGCCGGGUAACGCGUUACCCCAUUCCGUUAGGCCUUAGAAGGAAUGGGAGUGAGGCGUUUUUUUGU
rnacentral:ncRNA from 1 species